GGCGGAAACUCAACUUUACUGUGCGGAAGAAGGCAAUGGGCUUUUAACUGAGUGCACAUGAGUGGCCUUUCAGAAAAAUGGGUGGAAGGAGUGAAUACUUGGCAAUAAUUGGCCCUUGAAGUGGAGGCUCAAUCAGCCGGGCUCUGAUUGGAACCACCUAGAAACCACACCCCCGAAUAGCUUUCCAGCAGCUGAGAAUUCACGGAAGAGAAAAGAGAUGGGAUCAUGCCCAAUGCCACCAGCACAAAGGAUCCAUCUGCCUCCAGAAUGAAAGUUUCACCUUUCAGGCAUAGGAAAUGUAAUCUGUUAUGGAACACCUGGGCCAUUUAAAGACACCAUGAUGCAGAGUGGUGCCAACUGUUUUUCUUCUGAAGGAAAAGCACAAUGACCAAAGAAACGCCUACAAACGAGUUACUGUUCCUCUCACAAUACAGUAUUGGAAUAGACUGUUUGUUACUCGCAUAACAUUCUACUGAAAUACAUUUUUGGCACUCUUCCAAAUGGCAUUAAAACUGUGCAAUACAAUGAAAAUGUAAAUUUCAGUGGAGAUCUU